rnacentral:rRNA from 1 species
AGAACGAACGCUGGCGGCAUGCCUAAUACAUGCAAGUCGAACGAACUCUUCGGAGUUAGUGGCGCACGGGUGCGUAACGCGUGGGAAUCUGCCCCUUGGUUCGGAAUAACAGUUGGAAACGACUGCUAAUACCGGAUGAUGACGAAAGUCCAAAGAUUUAUCGCCAAGGGAUGAGCCCGCGUAGGAUUAGCUAGUUGGUGAGGUAAAGGCUCACCAAGGCAACGAUCCUUAGCUGGUCUGAGAGGAUGAUCAGCCACACUGGGACUGAGACACGGCCCAGACUCCUACGGGAGCAGCAGUAGGGAAUAUUGGACAAUGGGCGAAAGCCUAGAUCCAGCAAUGCCGCGUGAGUGAUGAAGGCCUUAGGGUUGUAAGCUUACGUUUUACCCGAGAUGAUAAUGACUAGUAUACGGGAAGUAAGUAACGCCCCGGACUUAACCGUCCGUA